CCUACGGGAGGCAGCAGUGGGGAAUAUUGCACAAUGGGCGGAACCCUGAUCCAGCGACGCCGCGUGAGUGAAGAAGUAUCUCGGUAUGUUAAGCUCUAUUAGCAGGGAAGAAAAUGACGGUACCUGACUAAGAAGCCCCGGCUAACUACGUGCCAGCAGCCGCGGUAAUACGUCGGGGGCAAGCGUUAUCCGGAUUUACUGGGUGUAAAGGGAGCGUAGACGGUGAGACAAGGCUGAAGGGAAAGCCCGGGGCUCAACCCCGGGACUGCCUUGGAAACUGCCUGACUGGAGUGCUGGAGAGGCAAGCGGAAUGCGUAGUGUAGCGGUGAAAUGCGUAGAUAUUAGGAAGAACACCAGUGGCGAAGGCGGCUUGCUGGACAGUAACUGACGUUGAGGCUCGAAAGCGUGGGGAGCAAACAGGAUUAGAUACCCUUGUAGUC
rnacentral:rRNA from 1 species